rnacentral:rRNA from 1 species
GACAGAGGAUGCAAGCGUUAUCCGGAAUGAUUGGGCGUAAAGCGUCUGUAGGUGGCUUUUUAAGUCUGCCGUCAAAUCCCAGGGCUUAACCCUGGACAGGCGGUGGAAACUACCAAGCUUGAGUACGGUAGGGGCAGAGGGAAUUUCCGGUGGAGCGGUGAAAUGCGUAGAGAUCGGAAAGAACACCAGUGGCGAAGGCGCUCUACUGGGCCACAACUGACGCUGAGGGACGAAAGCUAGGGGAGCGAAAGGG